rnacentral:rRNA from 1 species
CGCGUGGGAAUAUGCCCUUCUCUAAGGAAUAGCCUCUGGAAACGGAGAGUAAUACCUUAUACGCCCUUCGGGGGAAAGAUUUAUCGGAGAAGGAUUAGCCCGCGUUAGAUUAGGUAGUUGGUGGGGUAAUGGCCUACCAAGCCUACGAUCUAUAGCUGGUUUGAGAGGAUGAUCAGCCACACUGGGACUGAGACACGGCCCAGACUCCUACGGGAGGCAGCAGUGGGGAAUAUUGCACAAUGGGGGAAACCCUGAUGCAGCCAUGCCGCGUGUGUGAAGAAGGCCCUUCGGGUUGUAAAA